GAUGAACGCUGGCGGUGUGCUUAACACAUGCAAGUCGAACGAUGAAAGCGGGAGCUUGCUCCUGCUGGAUUAGUGGCGAACGGGUGAGUAACACGUGAGCAAUCUGCCCCGAACUCUGGGAUAAGCGUUGGAAACGACGUCUAAUACCGGAUACGACGCGCGAAGGCAUCUUCUGCGCGUGGAAAGAACUUCGGUUCGGGAUGAGCUCGCGGCCUAUCAGCUAGUUGGUGAGGUAACGGCUCACCAAGGCGACGACGGGUAGCCGGCCUGAGAGGGUGACCGGCCACACUGGGACUGAGACACGGCCCAGACUCCUACGGGAGGCAGCAGUGGGGAAUAUUGCACAAUGGGCGAAAGCCUGAUGCAGCAACGCCGCGUGAGGGACGACGGCCUUCGGGUUGUAAACCUCUUUUAGUAGGGAAGAAGCGAAAGUUACGGUACCUGCAGAAAAAGCACCGGCUAACUACGUGCCAGCCGCCGCAGUAAAAC
rnacentral:rRNA from 1 species